rnacentral:rRNA from 1 species
GAUGAACGCUGGCGGCGUGCCUAAUACAUGCAAGUCGAGCGAAGCGGGGACGGGUGAGUAACACGUGGAUAACCUCCUAUAAGACUGGGAUAACUUCGGGAAACCGGAGCUAAACCGGAUACUUAUACAUGGAUCCGCGCUGCAUUAGCUAGUUGGUAAGGUAACGGCUUACCAAGGCAACGAUGCAUAGCCGACCUGAGAGGGUGAUGGGCCAAACUGGAACGGAGACCCGGUCCAGACUCCUACGGGAGGGAGCAGUAGGGGAGCUUGCAGAAAGGGCGAAAGGCAGAGGGGGGAACGACGCGUGAGUGAAGAAGGUCGUCGGAUUGUAAAACUCUGUUAUUAGGGAAGCGGGACCAGAUCAGAAAGCCACGGCUAACUACGUGCCAGCAGCCGCGGUAAUAC